rnacentral:rRNA from 1 species
CAUAGCGACUAUCGUGGCAUAUCAAUAAGCGGAGGAAAAGAAACUAACAAGGAUUCCCUUAGUAACGGCGAGUGAAGCGGGAAGAGCUCAAAUUUGAAAUCUUCAAGGUUUUACCUUGACGAAUUGUAGUUUAUAGAAGUGUUUUCUGUUAGUGGAGUUGGUAAAAGUUCUUUGGAAUAGGACAUCAUAGAGGGUGAGAAUCCCGUAUUUGGUCAUUCCUCCUAGCGUUGUGAUACACUUUCAACGAGGUCGGAUUGUUUGGGAAUGCAGUCCAAAAUGGGUGGUAAAUUUCAUCUAAAGCUAAAUAUUGGCGAGAGACCGAUAGCGAACAAGUACCGUGAGGGAAAGAUGAAAAGAACUUUGAAAAGAGAGUUAAACAGUACGUGAAAUUGUCAAAAGGGAAGCGUUUGACACCAGUGUUGUUUUUCCGAAAAUCAAUUACGAAUGUUUUGUUUUCAAGCGUUUGACACCAGUGUUGUUUUUCCGAAAAUCAAUUACGAAUGUUUUGUUUUAAGAAGUUAUGACUUCAUCGGCUUGCUUCUUUCUUUAUGAAACUUUCUUAAUGCACUUUUCGGUUAACAAGUCAACAUCAAUUUCUUUUGUUGUAAAAGGGUAUGAGGAAGGUGGCUUUACUUUUCGGAGUAAAGUGUUUAUAGCCUUGUGAAUUCUGCAAUCGGAGAGAUUGAGGUCUGCAGCGUAGAUCCUUCGGGGUUAGAUACAUUUGUGCUAAGUUAUAGCUUUUCAUAGACAACUUGUUGACUAUGUUAGUCUUGUAGCUUACUCGCUGAUGCUAUUUUACCUACGCUUAGGAUGUUGACGAGACUGUCGAUCUC